UCGCACAGCCCUCCUUGGGCGUUUCCUCCCUAGACUUGGGCCGCUCACGAAAGUGAGCGGCCUCUUUCUUUUCUGGG
rnacentral:sRNA from 1 species